rnacentral:rRNA from 1 species
AUGGGAACGCGAAGAACCUUACCUACUCUUGACAUCCAGAGAACUUAGCAGAGAUGCUUUGGUGCCUUCGGGAACUCUGAGACAGGUGCUGCAUGGCUGUCGUCAGCUCGUGUUGUGAAAUGUUGGGUUAAGUCCCGCAACGAGCGCAACCCUUAUCCUUUGUUGCCAGCGAUUCGGUCGGGAACUCAAAGGAGACUGCCAGUGAUAAACUGGAGGAAGGUGGGGAUGACGUCAAGUCAUCAUGGCCCUUACGAGUAGGGCUACACACGUGCUACAAUGGCAUAUACAAAGAGAAGCGACCUCGCGAGAGCAAGCGGAUCUCAUAAAGUAUGUCGUAGUCCGGAUUGGAGUCUGCAACUCGACUCCAUGAAGUCGGAAUCGCUAGUAAUCGUAGAUCAGAAUGCUACGGUGAAUACGUUCCCGGGUCUUGUACACACCG